rnacentral:rRNA from 1 species
CGGAGCUGCUUCCAGUACGAGAGGACCGAAGUGGACGGACCGCUAGUGUGCCAGUUGUGCCGUCAGGCGCAUCGCUGGGUAGCUAUGUCCGGAAGGGAUAAGCGCUGAAAGCAUCUAAGCGCCAAGCCCUCCGCAAGACUGGGUCUUCCUCAUGGGUCGUUCGAGACGAGGACGUAGAUAGGCGGUAGGUGUAAGCGUAGUAAUACGUUUAGCCGAGCCGUACUAAUUACCCAUAAGGCUUAACACCC